GGGGUGAGGACAAAUAACGAAGAACCUGCCUUUGUUGAGUUUGAAUUUAUAUUUUUUAUCCACUGUAUUUUUAGAGAGAAAAGAAGAUGAAAUCUACAUGUUGCUUUCUAUUGUUUUUAUUGUUGAAUAUAUUCACACUUGAAGCUACAGGUAAUCUAGGAUAUAAAACAGCAAAGGUCCGACAAGGGAUAUAUUUUAACUUCCUAGAUAUUUCAUCUGUAAACAGUUUUACAGCUAAUCUGAAAGGAGAGGUGGCAGUAAUUAUUGGAUUAUUUGAUGAUGAAAGAAUGGUGUACUAUAUACUGAUUAGAGCUGAUACAUUCGCUAUCCAGGAAUGUGUACCGCCAACUACCUGCAUAGCGACAACUGGUGAUAUCAACACUACGUUCAACAAUGUCACAUUUUCCCCGUUUUGGUUCCGGUGGGAGGCGGGUCAAGUGGAGUUUGGAACUGGGGUUAACAGGGUUGGAUUACAUCAAGAUGCUAGAACCGUUAAUAUUAAAUAUUGGGCUGCAUCCUGCAGCCAGGGGUUGCAUUAUGUUAAUUAUCAGCAUACAUCAAGAUUUUCAUGUCAUAAUGGUUAUAAAUUGGUGCACGCUACAGCAGUGUUAAAACAGAAAACAGCUACGAGUUUAGUCGGCUGUAGUCGUGAAUGUGGGAGGAAGCCUUUUUGUUUUGCUGUGAAUUAUCGCCGUCAACAGUUCGACAACUGUGAGGAGUACAUAAUCUCUAGCAAAGAAGUGAACGGCGACGUCAUUGUACCUUUCAAUAUAACAGCUAAUUCUGAAUGGCUUUAUUGUCAAAUGACAAGGCAAUAAGCACACUGAUCAGCAGUGAAUAUUCGCUUAGCUUCUACAAGCACUGAUAAGGAUGACAUCGGUGCGACUUAAUGAGCCCCAAUCAUUAACUUUUUUCCUUCGACAAAUUAAAUUCUAAAACAUUUUUUUAUGUAUUAGAAAAAUAAAUAAAGACGUUU